CCUACGGGUAGCAGCAGUGAGGAAUAUUGGUCACUGGACGAGAGUCUGAACCAGCCAAGUAGCGUGAAGGAUGACUGCCCUAUGGGUUGUAAACUUCUUUUAUAUGGGAAUAAAACGUUCCACGUGUGGGAUUUUGUAUGUACCAUAUGAAUAAGGAUCGGCUAACUCCGUGCCAGCAGCCGCGGUAAUACGGAGGAUCCGAGCGUUAUCCGGAUUUAUUGGGUUUAAAGGGAGCGUAGGUGGAUUGUUAAGUCAGUUGUGAAAGUUUGCGGCUCAACCGUAAAAUUGCAGUUGAAACUGGCAGUCUUGAGUACAGUAGAGGUGGGCGGAAUUCGUGGUGUAGCGGUGAAAUGCUUAGAUAUCACGAAGAACUCCGAUUGCGAAGGCAGUUCACUGGACUGCAACUGACACUGAGGCUCGAAAGUGUGGGUAUCAAACAGGAUUAGAUACCCCUGUAGUC
rnacentral:rRNA from 1 species